rnacentral:lncRNA from 1 species
UAAAAAGCUGGAUUCUUCGUUUCCUUUUGACUUUUUUCCCCCCUAAAAAGACCCUGCUUUCAACAGAAUUGUCUGAUAUAGAGGCAGAAACCACUGGCUCUUUUGGUUCUGGAGGUCAGAAGUCUAAAAUCGAGGUGUUGGUGGGACUGCAUUCUUUCUAGAUGCUGCAGGAGAGAAUGUUUCCUUGCUUUUUUUGGCUUCGAGAAGCUGCCUGCAUUCCUCGGCCGGUGAGCUCUUCCUUGCGUCACUCCAACCCUCUUGCUUCUGUCAUGCCAUCUUCCAGUGGUAACUCUGGGACCCCGCCUCCCUCUAAUAAGGACCCUUGUGAUUUACCUCAGGCCCCUCUGCAUAAUCCAGGAUAAUCUCUCCGUCUCAAGACCCUUAACUUCAUCACACCUGCAAAAUCCCUUUUACCAGGAUCUGAACCGGCAAACCCCAGGCCUCCCAAGUGGAACGUGCGCACUUGACUGCUGUGCCACCGGGCUGGCCCCAUUGUUUUUCUUAAACUAUGAUCGCCUUGGACCAGUGGUUUCUAGAUGUUUUGAUUUUCCAAUUAUUAAAAUUUCCAAAAAAUUUCUGGUGUACUGCUUUUUACCAUCAUUCUACAAAAGAAAGGCCAUUUCAAGACUAAAAACAGUAAGAAUGACUUGACCCCAAAUGAAAGGACUUUU